rnacentral:lncRNA from 10 species
CUGAAAUUAGCCGGGUGUGGUGGCAGGUACCUGCAAUCCCAGCUACUCGGGAGGCUGAUGCAGGAGAAUCACUUGAACCUGGGAGGCAGAAGUUGCAGUGGGCUGAGAUCACACCACUGCACUCCAGCCUGGGCAACAGAGCAAGACUCUGUGCCCCUGCCCCCCUGCUCCCCACACAAAAAGUUACACAACUGGAACCAUACCCAAUCCCCAUACAGUAUGUAAUUUUAGGGGAUUUUAUUUCCCCCUCAGCAUAAUUUUCUGGAGAUUCUUUCUAACCGUCGCACGAACCAACAAUUCAUUUCUCUUUAUUGCUGAGUAGUAUUCCAUGAUACAGAUGUACCAGUUUAACUAUUUACUUGUUGAAGCAUAUCUGGGCUGAUACCAGUCUUUGGUUCUGCCUCCUGUUUUUAUAUAAAGUUGUAUUGGAACACAGCCAUGCCCAUUUAUUUACAUUUUGUCUAUGACUGCUCCUUAGAGUUGAAUAGUUUCAUCACAGACCAUAGAGCCCACAGCCUAAAAUAUUUACUCUCCAGCCCUUUGUAGAAAAAGUUUGCCAACCCUUAUUCCAAGCACCUAACAUUUAUUAAUCUUAAUUUUCACAAUAUCCCUAUAUAAUUGUUAUCUUCGUUUCGCAAAGGGAGAAACUGAAGCAUAAAGAAAGUAAGUAAUUUGCUCAUAGUCACACAGCCGAGCUAGGUUUUGAACUCAGCAAUAUGGCUCUAGGGGCUGCCUCUUAACCAGUCCUCCUCAAAAGAUAAUCUUACUUCUCAGUUCAAGACAGAGGAACUCGGCUGGGCGCAGUGGCUCACACCUGUAAUCCCAACACUUUGGGAGGCCAAGGUGGGCAGAUCACCUAAAGUCAAGAGUUCCAGACCAGCCUG